CCAUACAAAAGACACGUUCUUUUUCACUAAUUCAUAAAGUGGGGCAGCAAUGGAACUGAAAUGAGGCACAAACCUAUGAUAAAAAAUUGCUAGCCCAUGAAAACUCCUCACUUUACCAGCAUUCCUAGGUUUUGGCCACUCUUCGAUUGCCUUUAUUUUCUCUUCAUCAACUUCUACACCAUUGGCACUCACAACAAAGCCUAGAAACACUACUUUAUCAAUGCAAAAAGAACACUUCUUAACAUUUGCAAAUAACUUUUCUUGUCUCAAAAAAUAGCCCUAAGAUGUUGCAAAUGCUCAUCCAUGCUCCUACUAUAUACAAGUAUGUCAUCAAAAUAUACAACAAUGAAUUUUCCUAUAUAAGCCCUCAAAACAUGGUUCAUCAAUCUCAUAAACGUGUUUGGGGCAUUGGUAAGCCCAAAUGGCAUAACCAGCCACUCAUAUAAACCAUGCUUUUUCUUGAAAGCAAUUUUCCACUCAUCACCCAAUUUCAUCCUAAUUUGGUGGUAACCACUUUUCAAGUCAAUCUUAGAAAACACAAUACUACCACGCAGCUCAUCAAGCAUAUCAUCUAACCUUGGAAUAGGAUGACGAUAUUUUACCGUUAUUUUGUUGAUUACACGGCAGUCCACACACAUUCGGUAUGUCCCAUCCUUCUUUGGCACUAGAAGCACUGGUACUACACAUGGGCUCAUACUCUCCCUCAUGUGACCCUUGGCUAGGAGCUCCUCCACUUGGCUCUGCAAUUCCUUAGUCUCUUCUGAAUUACUCCUAUAAGCAGGUUGGUUGGGAAUAAUACCUCCAGGAAUGAAGUCAAUCUGAUGCUCAAUCCCCCUAAUUAGUGGAAGUCCAGGAGGUAUCUCAUCAGGGAAUACAUCU
rnacentral:misc_RNA from 1 species